CCGCCCCCUCCCAUCCCCUCCCCUACCUCGCGUCUCUCUGCCUGUCUCGCACGAUGUGUGCCCCAUCAUGCGCCGUCGAAAUUUCAGUUGCGGGAAGGGAGGAGUAUACAAUUUCGGCGGCGCCGCCGGCACGCAUCUGGUUAUCCCUGUCGCCGCCCCCCUUACGCUCUCACGGAGAGGACGGAGUGAGGCGCAUGCGACCUGGGCUCUCUCCUCCUCCCCGAUCUCUCCUUCUCUCUACCGACCGGCGAACAUGUGGUGCGCCGCCGCCGUCUUGGCGCUUAAGCCGGGGAGUUCGGCUUCUUCCCUCCCCUUCGCGUCCCAGAUUCCUUGUGCCGCCACGACGACCACCACCUCCUGUUCUUCAUGCCACACACAAGCUGGGCGGUGCCCCUCGAAGCCCCCCUUGGACGGUUGGAUCCAUCACCUCGAAUCCGCUUCACCACCACAUCACUGUUGGAUUUGAGACUUAAGCUCAGAUUGGAUUUUAUGGAUUACUUUGGAAACUCAUGUACAGAUCAUGUUAGUUAGAAAUAUUGUCACACUUAAUAUGACAAUUCGAUUGUUAGAUUUUUAUUUUUAGAUUAGUUAGUCAAUGCAUCAAAAAGAUUUUGUAAUCUGUUGUUGAUAAUGGUGGAUAUCUGAUCAUGUUAGUUAGAAAUAUGGUCGCACUUAAUAUGACAAUUCGAUUGUUAGAUUUUGCUUUUUAGAGUAGUUAGUCAAUGCAUCGAAGAGAUUUUGUAAUCUGUUGUGCACCAUAUAGGAAAUUUCGUAAUGUGUACUGACUGCAAGAAGGCCUGAAAUUUUCUUAAUGUGUCCUGGCUGCAGGAUGGCUUCUUGAUGCUCUAACUGGAAGUUAUGCCCUUUCAAAAUGAAAAGGAUACUUGGAAGGCUGGUGCAUUUUGAUCUAGAGAACAAAGCCAUACAAGAUGAAAAGCAAAAUCAAGGACCCUUCCACAAGUGCCAUAGAUCAGGUAAGGAAGCAAAAUUAAAAAUCGAUGCCAAGAGGUGCAAGAUGGAUCAUGGUGAGAAGAACUUGGCCACAAUGAAGCCAAAGGUGGAUAGAGGACGGGGAUCAUGAAAAUGUAGCGAACCUUUUGCAUAAGGAACAGGCCAGGAGGUCGAGCGCACGCUUUCCUCGGUUUCGAAUCAAGGGGAUAGCCUUGCUUUUGUGCCGGCGUUUCUAUUUCAGUGCGCCUCUGUUAGGUAACUUCAAUAAGCUUGUUAGCUUCUGUUAGAUCCUUAGCUAAUUACAUUUGUCAUGGAUUUAUUAGUGUACUUGUACAACUUGGUUCAUGAGUAGUACUGGUCGAUUUUUGGUUCUCUAUGUUGUUGACAUGGCAUGUUUGUUCGUACGUUUUAAUGCUCUAUGCAUAUUAGAGCCUAAAUAAUAUGGUUGGAAGUACUUAUUAUGUUAGCACUUUAUUAUGUUGCUCCUGAAUUUCCUCAUAGAUGCUAUCACAGAAGCUAAUGCCUGGAGUAUAUAUGUCACCGUACAUAUCCUCCUUUGUGGCAGCAUCUUUUUUUUUGAGAAUGUGGCAGCAUCUUCUUUGCGCAUAUGCGGAAUCUGGCACCCUAAGGAAUAACAUUGUCCUUUGGCAGAAGCAGAGGAUUUUGUUAAAUGCUUUCUAUAUAAAGAUUCACAUAGAAGGAUGCCUGCAACACAAACUUGAAAUGAGUUUCAAUCUGUCUAUAUGGAUCUAGCUUAAACUAAUGUCGUUACUAGUAUCACAUAUGUUCUUUAGGUCACCCAUGGAUCAGAAAUACAAUUACUUUAAAAUGCCAUUGGUUAUAUUCUGUCUUAUCAAAGCUUAAACUCCUUCAUCAUCAUUACGUAAAGAUGCUUUGAUGGUCCGCAUUGAUGAAAUUUGUUCUAAUAUUUCUUCUGUUGUUCCACAGAGAAGUUGCUUCUUCAAGUUUGAACUUGCAUCGUUCUAUGUGACAAUUUUUUUUAUGGUUGUUCCAUAACCUCCCUGUUUUCAUAAAUGGUUAAUCAGUUUCAUUUCCACGUUUCUCAUAGAACAUCUUGAUCAAAAUUACCGUAUAUGCCUACAAUCUUCAUAAGUAUUUAUUUGGGAGCCUAUGUUUUUGUACUUCUGAUUUUAAGUACCAUAAUAGAAUGCUUGGACAGCUCUCAAACUCUGAUCUAUUUUGGAAUCAAUUUAUUUGCACUUCAAAGUGGCACCCACAAAUGUUUCUUUUGACACAUGUGAGUGAUCAAUUUAGUUUUUAUUAUCUUCAAGUUCCAGCUAUUGAUGUAUGAUAUUUCUUGAUAGGCUUUGUCGACCUAGACUGUUGAUGAGCCUUUUCUAUCUGAGAAUGCAGUAUUCUUCAUUGGAGCUUGAUAGAAAUGGAUGUAUAUUUGCUGCAUUGAGACCGUGUAUCCAUAGGUCAACAAGGAUCUGAGUAGAGAGCCCCUGUGGAGCUGACCUUCUACACAACACGACACUCAUCAUAUCUUCCAUUUUCCCUUUCUUCCUCUGUUAUUUCGACAUCUUUGUUCUUUCCAUUUUUUCUUGUUAUUCGCCGUAUAGGUCAAUUGCUUAGGCCUUUUGAGUUUUCGUGACUGACAUAUUUCCAUAGGCGGUGAUCCAAGUGAAAUUUGUAAUUAGCAUCUUUCUAGAGCAUUGUAGAUAAUCAUGUUCAGAUAUUGUCUUAUGGAAAAUUGAUAUUUCUUUAUUUUUAUUAGAACCUGUUUGGUUGCUGC